GGACUUUCCAGGCAAGAGUACUGGAGUGGGGUGCCAUUGCCUUCUCCGUGAUUCUUACUAAACUUAUAAGGCAAAUGCCCCAAAGGGAAGAGAUGAUCUGUCAUGAUGUCUGACCACCAUGAGAACAAAAAUGAGAAAGCAUGUCAUCAACACGAACUUGUGUCCUGGGAGGAGCUGGACUCACUGACACACGACCUGGAGCAGAACUGAGUCCUCCGAGAGCUCCACAGAGAAUGUGACGAUGGAGGUGAGCUCACUGCCUCUUUCCUGGGAAGAUGAAGGUGCUCUGCACAGACAGGCUCAUGUCUCACCUCUCCUCUCUGCAGGACUUUGAGAUGGGGUCUAACUGAAAAGGUCCAUUUGGGGUCCUUUCGCUGCCUAAAUUGGGAGAACAUCUAUGAUCAAUCUAAACACAGAUCUACCCUCAUCUUUGUUGAUCUGAUUUGAUGCAGCACACCAGAGCCUCUGGCCUCAGGAGGCAGAGAAGAACAAGUGGGUUUAUGGAUCUGAAGGGUGGUCUUGGAUGCUCUUCUGGUGGGAGAAGGGCCCCCUCGCCUGGUGCUGCCCAAUCAAGCCCAGGCAAUGGGGUCUGCCCCCAGGCCUGCAGACUGUCUUCAACAUGAUGGCUGAUGUCGAGAGGGGAGAAGCAGGGAGCUAGUGGGAGUGAAGGUGCCUCCCGCAAA